rfam:Asian citrus Psyllid, Diaphorina citri - Florida Strain, whole genome shotgun sequence.
GGUAUAGGGGCGUAGUGGUCACUGCGCUCGCCUUGCACGCGGGAGACCCGGGUUCGAUUCCCGCCGGGGUCA